rnacentral:rRNA from 1 species
CUACGGGAGGCUGCAGUGGGGAAUAUUGCACAAUGGGGGGAACCCUGAUGCAGCAACGCCGCGUGGAGGAUGACGCAUUUCGGUGUGUAAACUCCUUUUAUAUGUCAAGAAAAUGACGGUAGCAUAUGAAUAAGCACCGGCUAACUCCGUGCCAGCAGCCGUCGGUAAUACGGAGGGUGCAAGCGUUACUCGGAAUCACUGGGCGUAAAGGACGCGUAGGCGGGUUGGAAAGUCAGGUGUGAAAUCCUACAGCUUAACUGUAGAACUGCACUUGAAACUUCUAAUCUAGAGUAUGGGAGGGGGAGAUGGAAUUAGUGGUGUAGGGGUAAAAUCCGUAGAUAUCACUAGGAAUACCUAAAGCGAAGGCGAUCUCCUGGAACAUAACUGACGCUAAGGCGUGAAAGCGUGGGGAGCAAACAGGAUUAGAUACCCCAGUAGUC